UACGGGGGGGGCAAGCGUUGUUCGGAAUUACUGGGCGUAAAGGGCUCGUAGGCGGCCAACUAAGUCAGACGUGAAAUCCCUCGGCUUAACCGGGGAACUGCGUCUGAUACUGGAUGGCUGGAGUUUGGGAGAGGGAUGCGGAAUUCCAGGUGUAGCGGUGAAAUGCGUAGAUAUCUGGAGGAAUACCGGUGGCGAAGGCGGCAUCCUGGACCGGCAUUGACGCUGAGGAGCGAAAGCCAGGGGAGCAAACGGG
rnacentral:rRNA from 1 species